rnacentral:rRNA from 1 species
ACCCUAUUAUAUUUAAAUAAAUUUAGAUAGUAUAAAUUUUUCAUAAAAAUMUAAAUAUUUUGGCGACAUAUAAUUUAGUUAGAGGAACCUGUCCCUUUAUCGAUAAUCCACGAUCAUACUUACUUUAAUAAAAAGUUUAUAUACCGCCAUAAUAGAAUUUUCAAUAAAUUACAUUUCAAAAUAAUAUUCUAAAACCAUAGGUCAAGGUGUAAUUUAAAUUAAAGAGAGGAUGUGUUACAUUAAAUAAUAUUUAAGGAUAAUUAAACAUAAAAUUAAUUUCAAAAAGGAUUUAAUAUUAAAUUUAUAAUUAUAAUUUAUAUUGAAAUAAAUUAAAUAUGUGU